GUUGAGUACCCCUGCUGUAUAUGAUAAACAAUCAAGCAUAGGCAACAAUAUAAGGUGUCUGAAAACCCACAUAUCACAAACCUAAUUACUACAAAACCUAUUUUACUAUGACAAUAUUGGACAUCCAAUGUGUGACAACCCAGUGUCAGACAGCCUACUAAGGAUGAUUAAUCACCAGGAGAUGGCAGUAUGUACACUGCCUCCACUAGUUUGGCUGGCCAAUCAGAGACGAAGGGUGACCAACCAAGCAAACACCAAAUGUGAAGACCCAGGCACAUUAAACCAAGCAAUAAUUCCAUGAAAAAAACAAUCCAUCAAAUGAUGUGGUACAACUAUAAAUCCGUUCUUUGAACGUUGACAGAAAGAGACAAUACAGAAAACAAUGCAUUGUAUGCUGUCCAUACGACAGUGGGAACGCUUGCCCUAAACACUGUUGCUCCUCAAACACAAAGAACAAGUGCCCAAGAAACAUAUUCAUUCAGUCUGAAGCGUUAUAUUGGACUGACAACCAAAUAUUACCUUGCCGCUGAGAUUUAGCGAUACAGCAAAAACAGCCUCGCCUAUGAGCAUGUUAAAUUAUCCAUGAGUGUUUCUGAUGCCUUCAUCACCAUGCUGUUGCUUUGGGACAAUUAAUUACCUUUCAGUUUCAAGCCGAUAAAAUUAGAUCAGACGAGGGAUGCAUCACAAAUGGCGCCCAAUUCACUUUAUAGGGCCCUGGUCAAAAGUAGUGCACUGUAUAGAGAAUAGGGUGCCAUUGGGAACACAGCCUAGUUAUGCUGUUGUGCCUCUGCCUAUGCUGCCAUAGGUUUAAUUUCCUCUGACUGACACGGUCCAUUUACAAUUUUCACUGCCGCUUUUAUGACCCGUCGUGAAACUGGUUCAACUGUCAGACUGCAUUGGAAGGUGUAAUUUACAGUAAGAAGUUGUUCAAAAGUAAUAGUGGGAGAGAGAGGACUAUCUUUGAAAGUGUACAAAUCUUGUAAAGUGUUAUUUCUGUGACUUUCAGGUCAUUUACACCUAGGCCUAUACUACACAGAUCAUUUUUUUCAACGAACCCUAAAUUACAAAAAAAAAAUAUACUGUAAAUUGCUUCUUCUGUCAGUGUUCACCUGUAAAAUAUUAUUUUCCUGUCAACCAUCACCCAUAGUGCCAUAGAACAUCUAGUACACUCUACACCACCUAAGCUUAGUACGAUGUAUAGAUGUCAUAAGACCUGAUUUUACUGUAGGUCCCUUCCUCGUAUAAGGCACGCGUGUGGCGUGUGGCGUGUGGCGUGUGGCGUGUGGCGUGUGGCGUGUGGCGUGUGGCGUGUUGCGUGUUGCGUGUGGCGUGUGGCGUGUGGCGUGUGGGUAAAUCAUGUCACAUGAACUGGAUUUGAACCUUUAAUUUAUAGCUUCUUUUAUCAAACUGUCAUCUUUUUCUUUUUACGCCAGAUAAUAUGGUCCAGCACCACAUUCAGAGAAUUGUUUUUAUUUUUGGUCUUAUUCUCAUUUCUGUAAAGUUUAAAAUAAAGGUUGAAAUCCAGGUCAUGUGACAUGAUUAACCAAAACACAGGACCUUACGACUCAUACACGCAUAUCCUAGGGUUUAACCUUACUCCUUUAAUAGCCAGUAAAUACCGUAUACUGUAUGUCAUAG
ensembl:lncRNA